UUUAUAUCUCAUAUAAUAUUCAUCCAUAAUCUUUUCAUAUAAGUUUAAAUGUGAUCUUGAAAAAAAUGCAUGCAUGUAUUGCCUACGCGUUCGAUAAAAACAUGCAACGAGAUGUCACGGCAAAUUAAAGCAUAUAAUAUUGGUCAUGCACAAGUGCGUGAGAAUUGCAACUUUUUCCACGCAUUGAUCGUUAGAUCAUUGAUUUGUAUUUAAAAAGUAUCCGCAACAAAAUUUGUAACUAACAAUUAAAGUUAAGUUCAUUAUAAAUGCAAAAUAUGUCCACUUUUAUUUCAAUUCGUAUUAUAAAUAUUCCAUUGUAUCUAAUAUGAAACAGUAACAUCAUGUAUUAAAAAAAUGGCAUGAUGUUGUUCAUCUAUUUUUCGUAAUUUAAAAUUCUUUAAGAGAAAUUUCUCGUCGAGGAUUCUACUACGCCUUUAUGCGACGCAAUAGCGCAGUCAUAAUUUCUUUAAAUAGAUCGUGGUUGCACCGGUUUAUCCUUCGUAUUAAUGGCGCUUGACAACUUGUUUGAGAUUUUUUAGCGACUUUAACCGACGAGACGCAGUCCAUUUAAUUAUCCUGCAAGAUAAUCGUCGUUCUACACGUACACUCGUGCCAAAUAGCAAGUGGUGCGGGCUGUAUCACGAUUAUAUGUAAUUUCGACGUGGCGAUUAAAUUCUUUUUUUUAGAUCGAGAUAUCAAGAAAGCCAUGAGUCAGAAGAGUAUGUAGAAUCGUGAUUCGCGUAAAUUAUUCUCAGAAGAUCGACAUUUUGAAGGAGUCACAACACGAUUAGGUAUUCCAGGGAACACAAGGCCUAUGACUUAACCCAUUAUCGUGGUAUGGGACGUGGGCGUCGAAUGGAGAUUCGAAGCGCGAGACAUUUACAAUUACGUUGCAUUGUGGGGAGAUACAAAAGAAUGUUAAUGCGAGUGUGGUGAGAUACCGCUAUAUACGCGCUAUUUAUAAAUCAUCGGCCUCGUGACAGAAAAAAGCAACGCAAAAAUUUUAACCUAGUAUAAAUUUUAAGUUUUUUCUAAUUAUGAAUAGCAUUAUAUAUUUGUUAAUGAUGAAGAAAGAGAUAUAGAGAAUUUCAAUAAAAUUCCAAGAAGAAGAAAACUAUU